rnacentral:rRNA from 1 species
GAUGAACGCUGGCGGCGUGCCUAAUACAUGCAAGUCGAGCGAACAGACGAGGAGCUUGCUCCACUGACGUUAGCGGCGGACGGGUGAGUAACACGUGGAUAACCUACCUAUAAGACUGGGAUAACUUCGGGAAACCGGAGCUAAUACCGGAUAAUAUAGUGAACCGCAUGGUUCAAUAGUGAAAUACGGUUUUGCUGUCACUUAUAGAUGGAUCCGCGCCGCAUUAGCUAGUUGGUAAGGUAACGGCUUACCAAGGCAACGAUGCGUAGCCGACCUGAGAGGGUGAUCGGCCACACUGGAACUGAGACACGGUCCAGACUCCUACGGGAGGCAGCAGUAGGGAAUCUUCCGCAAUGGGCGAAAGCCUGACGGAGCAACGCCGCGUGAGUGAUGAAGGUCUUCGGAUCGUAAAACUCUGUUAUUAGGGAAGAACAAAUGUGUAAGUAACUAUGCACGUCUUGACGGUACCUAAUCAGAAAGCCACGGCUAACUACGUG